CCAAUAGCGUAUAUUAAAGUUGUUGCAGUUAAAAAGCUCGUAGUUGAAUUUCGGGAUCAAUAUGUCGGUCGUGCCAUCGGUACGUACUGGUAUCAUUGGUUUCUCCUUUCUGACGAACCAUGAUGUCAUUAAUUUGGGGUUAUGGGGAGUUAGGCCUGUUACUUUGAAAAAAUUAGAGCGUUUAAAGCAGGCUUUAGCUUGAAUACAUUAGCAUGGAAUAAUGAAAUAGGACGUUCGAACCUAUUUUGUUGGUUUCUAGGAUCAACGUAAUGAUGAAUAGGGAUAGUUGGGGGCAUUAGUAUUCAAUUGUCAGAGGUGAAAUUCUUGGAUUUAUUGAAGACUAACUACUGCGAAAGCAUUUGCCAAGGAUGUUUUCAUUAAUCAAGAACGAAAGUUAGGGGAUCGAAGACGAUCAGAUACCGUCGUAGUCUUAACCAUAAACUAUGCCGACUAGGGAUCGGAUGAUGUUAAUUUUUUAAUGACUCAUUCGGCGCCUUACG
rnacentral:rRNA from 1 species